GUGAGUAAAGUGUUAACUUUGUUAUUUUUUUUUAUUUUUGUACCGGUAAAUGUCCACUCUGCUUUUUACAUGUUUAUUUUGCUUCAAUACCAAAGGCCAGCGGAUGAACUGUCCUAUUUGCACUUGAUAACUGCUCGCAGUGCAGCCAGUUCAGGGACCCGGGCUCUAGACACUUUUCGAUCGUGGGGCCUUGAGAUGACGAGGCUCUUUUCCUGGCUGGGGCCCCAAAAGGGACGAUACUGGAGAAAGCUGGGGCUUUUGAGCUGGGGACAGUUGCAUGCCACGUGCCCUAUGGGGCAAAGAGAGUGGGCCCAAAAAGCAGGUUAAGGACCCAGAGACGCCAUGGCAGCCAUCAAGUGUGGGAUCUCAGUAGCAUUGGGAAAUUAAGAGGCUUACCUACUGACUGCAACACGGCCACUGUGGUGCCCGCUGCCACCGCCCCUCCGUUCGCUGCGGCAGCUGCUGACAUCAUGCCUGCAGCCAUUGACCCAGCGGUGAUUCCUGCCGCGGUGAAUCAAGCGGCACCCAGAACGAAAGGGGCCGUUGAAGGGAUUCCUUGAGGCUUUGGGGAAGCUGCAGAAGAAGUUCUAUGCCAAAGGCCAGCGGAUGGACUGUCCUAUUCACACUUACUUGGUGACGGCUCUGGGCGGCUAUAGCGGAGCUGGGUGUUGUAAUGUAACCAAAAUAACUUUCAUUCAACUAACCUUUUGGUUGUCAAACUAAACAAAUUGCCAGUGUGGGGUUAUUCAAUUAAAAGUGUUUCAAAGUGCUCAAUUGAUGAGACAGCACACUAAAACAUCCCCUUCCAUCUUUUCUUAUUGAACACUCAGAAGCCUCAUCUGACCCACAUUGAAAGUCCAUAACAAGAUAAAACAUUAGGAAAUUAAAGGUAACCAGUCCAGGUGUUUAUUGUUAUAGCAAAGGUGUUCAAACUACCCAGCUCUAUUCUUGCUGUGUUCAGGACAACUCUGAAAUUCAGCCACAAUAUGCUGAACUCUCCCUCCGGCCUGGAAUUUAACAUUUUAAAGCAUUGCUGCCUUCCUUAAAUAUUAAAUAAAUGAUCCAAAUCAAUGAAUAUGCUGUAAUGUUUUU